UCCUGCCAGUCGCUCGGGCGAGCCCGUCGCGGCGGGACAUUACCCAGCGACCCCGGGGGAAAUCCCCACGGGUUACUAAAUGCUGCAACAGGAAGGCAAAUACAGCAGAAUAUUCCAUUAAUGGGCACUUUUAAAAAUAAUUCCUCAAUUUCUUUCGAAGUAAAAGCCCAAUAUGGCCCAAUUUAGCAGAUACUGUCUAAUUAUAGACAAAAACUAUAAUUAAAUUAGUGCCUGAAAACAUGAGGUUCAACUCUAUUUAUUGGCACCUAUCCUAGCUCUUGGUUCCAGAUAAUAGUAAUGAUAAGUAUCAGUAGUAAAUGGAUGCCUCAGUUCAACAUUUCAGAACUUCUAGCAGGGGUAAGGUGCACCCCGAUGAUUCGGAAUCAUAUAGCAAUGCAGGGUUGGAAUUGCUUUCCUGACGUGCUGGCACACAUAGAAACAUCAGAUAUUAAAAAAAUGCCAGAAAUACACUACCUGACAUUGAAAAUGCAACAGUGAGAAGGAGUGGCCAGAAAGUGAUGAAACUCGGCAAACAGAGAAAGAUAGCAACAAACAGUACGUGAUCUGUAUUUCAAAGUGAUAUGCAUACAAUACAGAGCCAGAAAAGCAUCAUCUCAGUAAGUUGUAGGACCACCUUGGACAGCGGUAUACGAAGCAACACAUCUAGGUACGGAGUCAAUGAGACUAUGGAUGGUGUUCUGAGAAAUGGCUCUCAUUUCCCUAUCAACCAUUUGCCACAAUUCGUCUUCUGAACGCAGCAAUGGCAGGGUCUGCAAAUGGUGUUCAAUCACAUCACAACUGUGUUCAAUUGGUGAGAGAUCAGAAGAGACCAGUGGCCAGGGAAAAAUCUGUAUACCUUGCACAGCACAUUGGCUGACACAAAUAAUAUGUGGUCGAGUGUGAUCUGUUGAAAAGGGCAUUGGGAACUCUCUGAAGGUAGGUAUUGACCACAGCUCAUUAUCCAUGCAUCACUAGGCUGCCAUAGUGCCCUGAACACCAACUGGUAACCUGAAAUCAUAUGCAACUGCACACUAAAACAUGACGUGCUAUCGCGUGGUGUGGCGUUCCACAGUUGCUGACGGAUUGGAACUGUCUCCAUAUCGAUGCCCCACUUAGUACGUAGCAAUUAUCCUUGGAGAAACAAAAGCAUGGCUCAUCUGAGAACACAACCCUGUGCCGUUCCGUCAUCUACAUCACUCGAGGCCGGCACUAUUGCAGACAUUGGCAUCUAUAAUUUGGGGUCAAAGGACAGUCUCCUUAAUGGACGCCAUGUGUGGAGGCCACUAGCCGCCAAUCAAUAGCAAAUGGUUAUGGUAGAUAUGGGAACAUCAAUAGUGUCUUGAACAUGCUGCAGAAUGGAGGUAGAAGUGGCUUGCGGGUGCGCCAUCGCUUGUCAACGGAUGCAUCCAUCCCCGCAUGCUGACGUCACUCUGGCUGCAUGGC
rnacentral:lncRNA from 1 species